UACAGAGGGUGCAAGCGUUAAUCGGAAUUACUGGGCGUAAAGCGUGCGUAGCCGGUUAUGUAAGUCGGGUGUGAAAGCCCCGGGCUCAACCUGGGAAUGCCAUUCGAGACUGCAUAGCUAGGGUGCGGAAGAGGGAAGCGGAAUUUCCGGUGUAGCGGUGAAAUGCGUAGAUAUCGGAAGGAACACCAGUGGCGAAAGCGGCUUCCUGGUCCAGCACCGACGUUCAGGCACGAAAGCGUGGGGAGCAAACAGG
rnacentral:rRNA from 1 species